GAAGAUGAUGAUUUCAUAUUUGUCGCCCCAGUCUUAGCGUCUGCUUCGUUGUAUCUGUGCUGAUCAACAUACUUCUGAUUU
rfam:Triticum aestivum genome assembly, contig: Triticum_aestivum_CS42_TGACv1_scaffold_499694_6BL